UACAGAGGGGGCAAGCGUUGUUCGGAAUUACUGGGCGUAAAGGGCGCGUAGGCGGCCUGCUAAGUCGAACGUGAAAUCCCCGGGCUCAACCCGGGAACUGCGUCCGAUACUGGCAGGCUUGAAUCCGGGAGAGGGAUGUGGAAUUCCAGGUGUAGCGGUGAAAUGCGUAGAUAUCAGGAGGAACACCGAUGGCGAAGGCAGGUCUCUGGGCAUUAACUGACGCUGAGGAGCGAAAGCAUGGGGAGCGAACAGG
rnacentral:rRNA from 1 species